rnacentral:lncRNA from 1 species
UAAAUUAUAAAAUCAAAUCUUUGAUGUGUGUGUGUGUGUGUGUGUCUGUCUAUAUAUAUAUGAGUUAUGCAAUCAAAUGGAUACCCUGAAAUGUCUUUAAGUUCUUCCUGGUAAAUUGCCUGCAAAGUGUUAAACUCCAACUUAGCGAGCUCAAGUAAAAGGUGGUUCUUGUCCUCUCUUUUCUCAUAAACGUGUAUGAACCACCUUGCCUCCAACAUUGGGACUUUCCAAUGCAGAGGGAGCUCCACUGCACGCUUCGCUUGUUCUGCGACAAAUACAUGCUCUUCCUGAUCAUCACGUCUUUAAGAUGUUUACUGGUAAAUUGCCAGGCCUCCUCCAUGAUGCUUUCUCCUUCUAAGCUGUAAUACGAGGCUUUGUGCAAGCUCAGUAUUCCCUUGAAAUCAUCACAAAUGAAGCCUCCCUGGUCGUCUUUUAAACCAUUGAAAACCUCUGCAGCACUCAACCAAGAAACGUUACAUUCGUCAAAAUUUUUGAUACAUCUAUUAAUUAGAGAGAUAGAGAAAAAAAACUGAUUUGGGUUUCGCCCAUUUCUUUACAUUUAAAAAAAAAAGAAAAAAAAACAGAGAGAUCGAUUCAAGUAUUCAGAUCAUGCAUGUGCAUGAUCUGAAGGAAGCGAAUUAAUGAAAUAUACCUUGAGAAACAGGAUAGCCAUGUUGUCUAAGUAGUCUGAAUUCAAGGGAGGUUACAUACAGAUUUUCUUUUCUCCAAUUAUAAUCUUUAUUAUUGUUGUAGAUAUUAUUCAAUAUGUUCCUAAUCUCAGUCUCAAAACGAUAAGCCAAUCCAAGUCUUUGCAAGUUAUCAAUCAGCUCCAACUGAUCCAGAGGCUCGAUUACAUCUUUAAUCGCUAUCUUCACUUUUCCCUUCAGCUCUUCUGCUCGUCUUUUGCAUGCUUCAUCCUGUACACGCACAGCAUUUAGUUUUUAGUUAUUCAUGGUCCCAAUUUGAAAUGAACAAAGGAAAUUAAUACGUAAUAGUAAUAAUCAAUACCGUAUACUUGCUAUUCAGCCACUGCAAAAAAUCAUGGUCCCAAAUUGAAGGUUGGUAGUUUGCUGAUCUCCUAUCAACUGUCAAAUUAUCAUAUUUGGCGCUGACAAGGCAUUGGACUGGCUUAUUUUUGGCCAUGAUUCUGAUGGCUGCUUUAUUUGUUGUAAGAGGAAGACAUUUGAAACCAUUUACAGAGGUAACCAAGGUUGAGGGAUUAAUGCAAGAAGACAUUGGAUAUACAGAUGUUGUGUAAGCUAGCUUACUGUCAAAUUAUAUAUAUAUAUAGGCAGAGGAGAAGUUCAAGUGAUUUAUUUUUCGUGCUCAUUUUUUCUGAGUUUUGAAAGCGUUUAAUUUUUAAGUCUUAAUAGUACAAAGGUAUUUUAUUCAUUUGGGGGAAAAAAAAAGGAGUACAUCAUACUGUGCGAACGAGGUCAUUAUUGUACCAGAAGACACAUACAUCAUCCAUAUAUUCGGAUGAAUGUUGUAUAAUCUUUAUUUAUUUAUCUUUUUUUUUUCCUGCAUACAAAUUUUUUAAAGAGUCUUUCAAUAAACUACACAAUAAAUGCACGCAGAAAUGACAAGAAAUUCAUAAAUUCAAUUCUACUAAUAAAAGUUCUAUUUAUUACAUUAAAAUCUUGUUUUAUGUAGAAAUAAGAAUAUACAAAGUAAAUUUAAGGGAAAAAAAAGGCAUACAAAGUUGCAAACAAUAUCUUAAUGUUGAGCACUAACAUCAAAAUUCUAUCUGUUACAGUUAUAAAGUACUUUUGCGGAAAACAAAUUAAUAAAUUUCAAAGUGAUUAUCAACAAAAAGUUGAUUGGAGAUAAUGGAUUUUAAUAUAUUGUAGAUUGUGAUCAUUUGUAAUAAUUUCAAAAAACUUCCAUUUAACAGCGGUUGGUGAAUGGGUGUUGUAAAAUAAUUUUAAUAUUUGACAACAAGCGAAAGAAUGUUGUUAAAAACUCUUCAAUAGAUGUUCAAUCUCACAACGUUCUACAAAAGCGCGUUGUGAAAAAAUUCUAAUAAUUGACAACUAGUGUAAAAUCGUUAUAAAUUUUUAAUCCCAUUCAAUCCAUGAAUUAGUAAAAUUAAUCUAAAUUCAAUUCAUAAUUCUGCAGAUUAGAAGUGGAUUUGAUACAAUCCAUAUUCAUUCCACUUUUGCGAAUUCGAUACGGAUUUAAAAAAAAAUUCUUUCUAUUCAAUUCAUAAAAUAAUUAAAUAAAAAUUUUAAUUAUAAAAAUAAUUUUACUGCAUGCCAAUCAAAUUCAAAUUUAAACAAGAUCUAAAUAAAUCAAUAGUUUAAAUACGGGUUUAGGAAUGCUAUGUUAAUAGGGUCUUUAUACCGCCACCCCAACAUCUAUUAAAUCAAUCAACAUACGUUUUGAAACAAAUAUAAUCCGGAAGCCAUAUACCAUUUCAGCUUUACUCCCUAUUCUCUCUUAAAUAAAACUAUGAAAACACUGGAGUAAUUGGUUUCAGCUUCGGUGUAGGAUAGGUUGGAGGUGAUGACACGCGACGACAGCUACUGAAAGACUAUUCGUUUUUUAAGAUGCCAUUCAAAGUUUCGAACUUUAGCACACCAAAAUAAAAAAUCCUGAUGUUUCUGGAUCAGUGGAUGAAAAUCAACUUAAGUUUUAGAAUUAAAUCAAUACAAAAGUUGAAAUUUGAAAGCUUAUAUAAUUAAUUGUUGUCAACGUCCACCCUAACUAGAUUUUAACCUAUUUACUAGUAGUAUAACAUUUUUAAAUUUUAAAUUCUUUAAAUUAUAUACACACACGGAUUUGCUGAUUUUCAGGGAUUUGGAGAAGCAAGUCCAUUUCAUCAAUUGUCGAUUUUAAAAUUUUUCAAUCCAUCUAAUCUGUCAAUUCAGCUCUUCUGCUCGUCUUUUGUAUGUUUCAUCCUGUACACGCACAGCAUUUUGUUUUUAGCUAUUCAUGGUGCCAAUUUGAAAUGAACAAAGGAAAUUAAUAUGUAAUAAUAAUAAUAUUGAAUACCGUAUAGUUGCUAUUCAAUGACUGCAAAAAAUCAUGGUCCCAAAUUGAAGGUUGGUAGUUUGCUGAUCUCCUAUCAACUGUCAAAUUAUCAUAUUUGGCGCUGACAAGGCAUUGGACCGGCUUAUUUUUUGCCAUGAUUCUGAUGGCUGCUUUAUUUGUUGCAAGAGGAAGACAUUUGAAACCAUUUACAGAGGUAACCAAGGUUAAGGGAUUAAUGGAAGAAGACAUUGGAUAUACAGAUGUAGUGUAAGCUAGCUUACAGUUAUACUUGGCAAAGAUUCUCAAAUUAUUCUAUGGUUUGUGGUGAUGUUCGAGGUUAUAUAUAGGCAGAGGAGAAGUUCAUGUGAUUUAUUUUUCUCACUCAUUUUUUCUGAGGUUUGAAAGCGUUUAAUUUUUAAGUUUAAUAGUACAAAGGUGUUUUAUUCAUUUGGGGGGACCCACAAAGGAGUACAUCAUACUGUGCGAACGAGGUCAGUAUUGUGCCAGAAGACACAUACAUCAUCCAUACAUUCGGAUGAAUGUUGUAUAAUCUUUAUUUAUUUAUCUUUUUUUUUCCUGCCUACAAAUUUUUUAAAGAGUCUUUCAAUAAACUACACAAUAAAUGCACGCAGAAAUGACAAGAAAUUCAUAAAUUCAAUUCUACUAAUAAAAAUUCUAUUUAUUACAUUAAAAUCUUAUUUUAUGUAGAAAUAAGAAUAUAAAAAGUAAAUUUAAGGAAAAAAAGGCGGAUUCACCGAAGUUGCAACAGUUGCAACGUACCAGGAUUUUUGUCUUUUUGUGACUUCAGCUCUUCACCGUCCGAUUUAAUGAAAAAGCAGCGUCUAUGGUAAGGAUGUGUCUGUUUGGUAAUUAACGUUACGGUCCCUAUUUUUUUGAAAAUUCAACAAAGUUAAAGAGUUACAGCUUUUAAUGCACAAGUCUGAAUUAUCUCAAAAUUGUAAAUAAUUAGACAAUUAAAAUUAGGAGAAAUUUCAUUAACAUUUUCAUUGUUAAAAAUAAAAAAUAAAUAAAUUUAAUUUGUGAAUAAAAUUAAAAUUUAAAAUAUUAAAAAUUAUUUCAAAAAUCAUUUCCAAUUUCUUCAUCUUAUCCAUCUCAUGUGCCAUGAAGUGGAACCGAAAGUAAUUACAACAAAUAAUCAUAGAAUGAAAUAAUAGAUAUCGUCAAUUUAAGUUAGUAAAGCAUUAACCAAUUACUCCUUUCGUUAGCCUAAACCAUUAAUUUGGUUUAGUACCUAGAGGCUGGAACUUCAACAUAAAAUAAUUAAAAAAAUGUAAUUCCAGAUUAUUAAUUUAAGUUUCAACCUAAAUUGUAGUGAAAUUUCCCAGUUAUUACUAUUUUUUAUGAUGUUAUAUUAGUAUGUCAAUAUUUAAUAUUCAAAAUAGUAAGAAUAUGUUUAACAUAUUAACAUUUACAAAAGAGUAGAAGAAUAAAAUUCAUAAUUAUGAUACUUCAAUUCUAAUCAAAUUAUAUUGAUAUGCAUUAAUUCAAUAAGCCUAUACACCUAAAUAAGCUAAAUACUAGGAGCUUUACUAUUCCUAAGUUAUACAUUGUAGAUUAUUAUAACAGUCAUAGAUUAUUAUAACUUUUUUAAUUAACAUAACAUUCUCAAACAGUUAAUUAAAACUCUUUUGCCAAUUAAAGUUGGUAGAAAAAAUCGAAUCCCAAAUCCCGUACCAAAUGGUACAUGAUACGGUAUAUGACUUAAAAAAUAUUUAAAAUAAAUAGAAAUUUGAGAUUAAAUUUAUUCUCAUUAAAACUCGGGACUAGUCAGGACUUCAAUUGGGAUCCCGAUGGAAUCCUAAUUAUACCAAAUUAUUUUAAUUUUCUAAUUUAAUUAAAAUGUUAAAAAAAUCAUGCACAGCUUUUAGCUUUUAGUUAUACACGAUUGCAGAGAAUUCAUGGUCCCAAUUUGAAAUGAACAAAUUAAAUUAAUGUGUAAUAAUAAUAAUGAAUACCGUAUAGUCGCUAUUCAAUGACUGCAAAAAAUAAUGGUCCCAAAUUGAAGAUUGGUAGUUUGCUAAUCUCCUGUCACCUGUUAAAUUAUAAUAUUUGGCGCUGACAAGGCAUGGGACUGGCUUAUUUUUGGCAAUGAUUCUGAUGGCUGCUUUAUUUGUUGCAAGAGGAAGACAUUUGAAACCAUUUACAGUGGUAAACAAGGUUGAGGGAUUAAUGCAAGAAGACAUUGGAUAUACAGAUGUAGAGUAAGCUAGCUUACAGUUAUACUUGGCAAAGAUAUUUUUCUCCAUUUCCUUUGAGAUCAAUUUCAAAACGAAAGAGUUCAGCAGCUUUGCACGAAAACUCUGGAACACUAGUGAUUAAGCACUUGCGAUUAAACAAUUGUUUGUUAAUGUUUACACAGUGCGACAGAGGAGCCUGCCACCUCACUACACGUUAGUGUAGCACAUGAGAAACCUCCGUUUGAAAAAUUAGACUAGUUGGUAGCGGCCGUGCCCGGGAAGCCUCUCUUCUUUGACACAAUAUGACACAAAUUAUUAACAAUCAAAUCACAAUUUUGAUAAGUUUCGUGAAAUAUAAAAAUAAUAGAAAUACAGAUGAUUAAAAAUUUGUUAAAGUCAAUUUUUUUAUUCACUAUUUACAAAAGAUAUUUAUUAUAUUUUAGUGAAAAGGAGGUCUUAAUAUCUUUUAUUGAAAACUUGAAGGUUUAUAUGAUCAUUUCUUCAAACUAUAAGGUGUAGGUGUAUUUUUUCCUUAAAAUUAUAUUUUCAUACUUUUAUAAUAUAAAAGUAUAGUUUAUACUCAUUAUAGGACUGCGAAUAAGGCAAUUUAAUUAGGACGGCAUUAUCAUAGGUAAAUGAAUUGAAGGAACUACAAAGCUGAUAAAUUCGAUCGUUGCCGGAAUCAGAUAUUGGAUAGAGAAAGUCUUCUAAAAUGGACAAGUAGCUUUCCAGAGAAUUCAGUGCUAUGCAUGUGGCUUUUUCACAUGGAUUAAUUGGCAGCACUCAUCAGGCAUUGUAAAUUUCUAAUAACACAGUCAACAGUCAGGCUCAUGAAAAGAAAAUAUUUAUUUUUUUUUUUAAAUUAAUAACCACUAAAGAGGUAGGAGGUUAGGCAAAACCCCUAUCUGACGUAUAAAUCAAUAUAGGAGUAAUUAUAUAAGGACGAUAACAUAACUCAAAACCUCUUAAAAUAGAUGUAAAUACAUAAGAAUAAAAGAAAAGAAUACAUCAUCAAUUGAAACAAUAAACCAACAAUCCUAUCGUCUGAUAUGAGGAAAAGUUUGUGCAUCUAAAUAAAGAAUGCCAGAUAAGCCCAUAGUUAGAUCUCGAGCACACAAGAAACGCCGGCUAACCCGGUGAGAGCAAGUCCAAUUGGCCAUAAAAUCAGUAGCAUAUGUAGCCUCCUGAAGCACAUGUCUAAUAAAAAUAUGAGAGGAAGAUAUCAAAGCACACACCUGACGUAACAAAUAAACAUAAUCCCAACGAACAAGGCCCAAGGAAUGAAUCCAAGAAACCACCAUGGCUGAAUCUGAUUCUACCUCAAGUACUGAGUAUCCCAGAUGAGUAGCGAGCUCCAACCGCUUGGAAACAGCCAUAAGCUUAGCAUAAAGAGUCGGUUGGCAACUAAGAAAAGAUCCAAAAGCAGCCAAAAAGUCACCCUGAUGAUUACAAAGAAUACCACCAGCUGCAGCUAUCCUAAGAUUACCCCUAGAGAAACCAUCCACUAUUAAUUUUGCAACUCCAGGAAGUGGUCACAUCUAAGAAACGAAACAAAUCGGCCUCUUGGGUGGAAUUAUGACACACAAACCCUCCGUAAUCCAAGAACCCAAAACUCCCCGUAGCUGAGAGGGCUUAAAUCCCAAUGCGGAGCUAGCAAGCCUAAGGUCCAAUCCCACUUGGUGGAUAAUUGCAUCCAUAGAGAAGGUCUGCGAAUCAAACCUAAAAGUAUUGCGAGCUUUCCAAACUUGCCAUAAAAUAAAGUAAGGAAGAAAGACUCGAAUAUAACUUCGACAUAGUGCAUAUAGUGGCCAAUAACAAAGCAAAGCAUGCGGGGUUAAAAAAACCACAUGUCGCAUACCUAAAUUUCGCCAAAAAUAAGCCCAAAUUAGCCUAACCCGUGGGCAAUCAAGGAAAAAAUGCCGAGAAGUCUCAAUAGCCCUACCACAAAUAUAGCGAGAGACUAUACAAAAUCCUCUCAAAUAAGGCAUCAUCAGUAGUCAAAUAACCAUGCAACAGUCGCCAUAGAAAAAAGCCCUAGAAGCAGAUAAGCAAAAAAACCUCAUCUCUUGGCCUAGAGCAACACACAAGCUCCCACGCUGUCCGCAAAUAAAAAAAGCCAUCAUGGCCGGACGCCCACCGAAUUGUAUCAUGUUUUGUACUAAAGAUGGGAAACAAUAGAAUUUGUACAACGAUUGAAGAGGGUAACACAUCUUGGAGUUUACCCCGGUCCCAUACUAUGCCCUGCCAAUAAAAAAAAUCGGCGCCCCAGAAGCCAUUGCAGGGUUGUAAAAGGCCAAAGGGCAGGAGCCCAACUAGCAAUUAUUCCAAAAACUACACUCCCCUGACCAACCAACUAGCGUACAUAAGGUUCAGCAACCCACCGAACCGAACAUAGUCAUCUCCAAAGAGAAUAGACGGAAUAACGAACCUAAACCCGACUCAAAUGUAUAGCUCUACAAUACUUAGACCUCAUAAAAUUAGCCCAUUAGGAAUUUUUCUCCCGAAAAUGCCACCAAAGCUUAUACUCAAAAGCCUGAGAUAAAUCCUUAUAAGAUUUGAUACCCAGGCCACCCUCUUUAAUUAGAUAAUAUACAACCGACCAUUUACACCAAUGAAUCUAACGUCUUAAUUUAAAAUCACCACAUAAGAAUCAGUUAAAGAACUUCUCUAAGAGUUGUACUACAGCUGCAUGUGGGCAAAGAACAUGAAGCAAGUGUAAUGGCAUAGACAAUAGCACAUGUCGAAUAAGCACUAACUUUCCACCAAAAGAAAGCAACUGAUUGGCCUAUCCCGAGAUUUUAUCCCUAAUUUUUCAGACCAUACCACCGCUGAAAGUCAGUGAUCGAAUGGACAAUAACUUGUCGUGAAGUAGAAGCGAAAGUUCUAAUGUAAAAAUAGCUUUCGGCUUGAUUAAUUGAUUGCCCCGAAACCGCCUUAUACUGAUGUAAAAACUUUAUAACCCACCAAAGACUCGAUCGACUCUCAUUUAAAAAAAUAAUAAUAUCGUCUGCAAAGCUUAAAUGGGAAACAAAGAUAGGUGUAGCAGAACAAUAUCGCACAGAAAGAUACUGAGUAUAUAUACGGUCCAAACCUCGAGAUAGGAACUCAGUAGCAAUGAUAAAUAAACAUGGGAAGAGAGGAUUACCUUGCCUGAGACCUCCCUUAGACUGGAAAAAAAAAUCAUGGCUAACUCUAUUCACCAGCACUGAGAACCAAGGACCAAAGAUGGCUCGUCGAAUCAAAGAGACCCACUGCUCCGAAAACCCAAAACACCGUAACAUCUUAAUAAUGAAAUACCAGGACAUCCCAUCAAAAGGCUUUGCCAUGUCAAGCUUCACACCACAUUAUUUCCUUGAGUACAGUGGUUGAGAUCAUGGACUAACUCCUGAACCAAAAGCACAUUAUCGUGUAUCACUCUACUAUGGACAAAACCGCUCUGAGAGGGAGAAAUAAGACGAGGCAAUAAAGGGUCCAAUCUCAACGCAAGUAGUUUAGUCAGAACGUUGUUACUCACAUUACAUAAACUAAUCGGUCUAAACUAUGCCCAAGAUCGGGCACCCAAGAUAAGUGAAUGGAAGCUGAAGCAGCUGAAAGUCAGUGAUCGAAUGGACAAUAGCUUGUCGUGAAGCAGAAGCGAAAGUUCUAAUGUAAAAAUAGCUUUUGGCUUGAUUAAUUGAUUGCCCCGAAACUGCCUUAUAAUGAUGUAAAAACUUUAUAACCCACCAAAGACUCGAUCAACUCUCAUUUAAAAAAAUAAUAAUACCGUCUGCAAAGCUUAAAUGGGAAACAAAGAUAGGUGUAGCAGAACAAUAUCGUACAGAAAGAUACUGAGUAUAUAUACGGUCCAAACCUCGAGAUAGGAACUCAGUAGCAAUGAUAAAUAAACAUGGGAAGAGAGGAUUACCUUGCCUGAGACCUCCCUUAGACUGGAAAAAAAAAUCAUGGGUAACUCCAUUCACCAGCACUGAGAACCAAGGACCAAAGAUAACUCGUCGAAUAAAAGAGACCCAUUGCUCCGAAAACCCAAAACACCGUAACAUCUUAAUAAUGAAAUACCAGGACAUCCCAUCAUAAGGCUUUGCCAUGUCAAGCUUCACACCACAUUAUUUCCUUGAGUACACUGGUUGAGAUCAUGGACCAACUCCUGAACCAAAAGCACAUCAUCGUGUAUCACUCUACUAUGGACAAAACCGCUCUGAGAGGGAGAAAUAAGACGAGGCAAUAAAGGGUCUAAUCUCAACGCAAGUAGUUUGGUCAGAACGUUGUUACUCACAUUACAUAAACUAAUCGGUCUAAAAUAUGCCCAAGAUGCUGGGGGCGACUUCUUAGGAAGAAGACUCAAUAAUGUACUCUAAAAACCCUUGGGCAUAGUUGAACCUCUGAAGUAAUCAAAGACAACCUCCAAUAAAUCAUUGCUAAUAAUAUCCCAACAAAACUGAUAAAAUUUAUUGGAGAACCCAUCAGGACCCAGAGCACUGUCAAGAUCAAUGGAGAAAACCAUCUGCCUAACCUCAUCCAUAUCUGGCUUCUUACAUAGAUUCACAUCAUUCUGUACAGUCACUAGAGACAAAAUAAAAUCAAAGUCUGACGGCUGAAACUGUCUAAUACCACAUGUUAAUAAACCCUAAAAAUAGUCAACUACAGAAGCAGCAACGGCUGAUGGCUCAUAAAUUUAUUAAAAAAAAAGCAUCCUGAAUCUGAUGGAUAUGAAAAAGUUGACACUUCUUCUGAAUCAUCGCAUGGAAAAAAUGAGUAUUAGCAUCGCCUUCCCAAACCCAACGAACAAUGAACUGCUGACGCAAAAAACUCUCCUCACAAAGAAGAGCAUGUUGCAACCGGACUCUGGCCUCUGAAAAAAUAGCUCUAUCUACAACAGAACCAUGAAUAUCAUAUUGCCUCUUUUUCUUAGCAACGUCCUCUUCCGCCUCCUUGACCCAAUGAAAGACAUUACAGAAUAUAUCCUUAUUCCAAAUUUUCAAGUAAAGCUUCAAUCUAGCAAGUUUCUGCUGAAAAGCUCUCGUUCGAGAACUAAGUACCGGAGAAAUCCAAGGUUGCCUGACAACAUCCAAAAAGCUAGGAUGUUUAAUCCAAGCAUGUAGAAACUUAAACCUGGAAGGCCCUCUGGCUACAUUUUUAUCACAAGAUAAAAGCAAAGGAGAAUGGUCUGAAGCUGUACGAUUCAAGUGUGUAACACGAAACAAUAAGAAAUAAUUUGACCAUUGGGCAUUGCUGACUACCCUGCGUCUCCAAGUGUGACCAUUAGUCCAAGUGAAUUGACUACCAGUAAACCCUGUAGCCUCCUCCAAGCAAAAAUCUAAUAAAGCUAAUUAAAAGCAUCAAUUGUCUUCUGAAGUUGGGCAUGCCCACCAGAAAUCUCUUAUGCUGACUGUACAAUAUUAAAAUUCCCCCCAAAAUCCAAGGACACUCCUGACAAUCAGCAAAAGCCAUAAGGGCUUUCCACAAAUCCUCUCGCACUAACAUAAAACAACUAGCAUAUACAUAAAAAAUAAAAACAGGUUCAGGAAAUAGAUAAUGGCUAACCGGACAACGAAUCAAUUGGCCGAUAUCCUCAAGGAGCUCCACCGAGAAUGGCAUAGACCAAAACACCCAAAUUUUCCCAAACUGAAAAGACAAAGCAUGAUCCAUUCCAAGACGAACCUGAGUAGCCUCUAACCGAUCAGCUGAAAUAAAAGGCUCUAAAAUACAGAUCAGAGAUAGUCAAUGCAACCGAAUCAACUUUUGCAGCUUGCAGACUAUGAGGGCCUUAUUAAUGCCCCGUAUAUUCCAAAUCAUAGAGUUAAUUAUUAGGAAGGGGAAUAUUUGGAAGGUAGCCUACACUUGCUAUUUUUAUGAGAUUUUUGGCCACUUACAGGUGAGAAUUCUCGGGUCCUCAAGAUUUGUUAAAAACCGACCCUCAUCAUCACCGUGCUCUUCAUGACCAACGUCUAUAUCCGAAUGAGAAGACCAAUCUUGUUCUUGUCACUACCAAGAUCUGUUGAUUGAUUAUUCAUGCAGUGGUCAUUUAAACCUUUUUGUAACUGAGUGGAUUCAUCGAUGGGUAUCUGAUUGAUGAUCGAAGCAUCUAAAAUAUCACAAUCAUUAAUAACUGUUGUAAGUUGAGAUUGAUCAGGCUGCCUCGAUGAAGAAAUAGGAGGAUGAAGAGAAGUUAGGUUCUUGUGGCCGCUUAUCAACAAUAACAAGAUACCGAUCGGGACUAUUCACCCUAGGUUGGAUGUCUACAUUAGAAAGUUUACCCUUUUCUCUUGGCUGCCGACCUUGAAAUUCCCCCUGUUGAGGUUUACAAAGCCCGGGAUUAAUAAUAUAACAAGUAUCAGAAAUAUGACCUAAAUGCUUACACGAAGUACAAUAAGAUGGUACUCGCUCAAAAAUCACGUUCUGCCAAACCUUGAAAUCACCCUCACCAAUCCAUACUAGUGACAAUAAAGGCAUGAGACAUCAUACUCAAUCAGCACUCAAGAAACAGAUGGCCGAUUAACAGAUAUCGUUGCGUUUUCAACUCUCAAAGGUUUGCCAAUAGCUGAAGCUAUCGAAAAUAGAGCCGGUUUACAAUUAAUAAAAUGAAAAGCCAAAUAGGGAAAGGAUACCCAUACUGGCUGGGUGAAUAUUACGAUUCUGAGAAUUAGGAGGAGAAUUAUCACGAUUUUGGGUUUGAGUUUGGUUUCAUGUUUGGGUUUAAUGGAUUUGUUUGGAUGACAUUAUUGAAAAGGGUUGUCUAUUACGGGUUUGGGCUUGGAAAUUUGUUUCUUGGGUUCCGGUUUGGGUACAUGGGAUCGGGUCCAAGUUAGGGCUUUGUAACGUUUGUAGUUGUGAAGGUAAUGACUGCUUCUCCAGGAUUUUGGCUGUGUUGUUCAUGGUUGAAAGUGUGUUUGGUGGAUUUGGGUUGUAGAUGAUGACGGUGAAGGUUUUGGCCAGGUCAUGGCGCUGAUAGCGGCGGCAAAGAGCAUGGCAACAAGGUUGGAGUUGCUACCAAUGCAGCUGGAAUUUUCAGGAGUUGGAGCCGUCAUGGUUUCAGAUUGCUGGUGACCAUGGGACUGUUCACGGACAUCUUGAGAAGGUUCUCGAGGACUAGUUUGACCGUGAAAACCUGUCGGAGCAGAUAUGACUCAUUUUGUUGUUAUUCGUCAAUCCAGUGACGUGUGACUUAGGGAGUGACAGAUCAGUAUUUGGGAGAACUUGAGAUGAGAGCAGCGACAGUUUUGCAGUGUCUGCGGUGGUUAAAGAGGAUGCAGCGGUGGCCUAUCUGUUUGGAUGCGAGAUCAGUGAGUUUGGGUUGUUAUUUUGCUGUGUUGGUGAUGUUUUUGAUAACAUGGCAAUGUUAGGAUGAGCAUGGGAUGGUGGCAGAGGAUCGAAAAUGAUUUCAGAUGCAGCUAAAGUGGUGGCACCUGCGGCAGAAUUGAUGGAGGAAGAAAGCCGAUAGUUUGCUUUGCUGUUUUCGGUUUGUAGGCCUAAGUUUGAGUCUGCCGGAUAGAGAACUGGUCACUGGCAAAUUGGGGAGGUUCCGAUGGCGGUUGAUCAUCACUAACAGCCGCCGAUGAAGCCAUAGCGGCUGGUCAAAGGUUCGGUCAAUCGUGAUGAUGGUGCUGUGCUUUUGAAACUUUUUUUAUUAUUUGUUUUUUCUUAUUAACAUUAAAGAAAUAAUAAAAUAAAUUAAAAUUAAAGAUUUUAAUAUUUGAAUUUCGAUUUAUAUCCUAACUAAUGUGUAGCUGGAGGCGAAAUUUUGAGAGGACUAGAAAUUGAGCGCAGCUCUCUACCCUUUUAUAUAUAUAUAUAUAUAUAUAUAGACACAAACGACAGUGUUAGAGAUUUGUUUCUAGAAAUGAAUACAAUAAUGGAAGACAAAAUACACUAAUCCAAUAAUUAGGCGCUCCUGUAUUUAAGCUAAUCCAAUAAUUAGGAACUCAUUUUUUUUUAAUACAAAUGGGCUCUCAAUCAAAGAGCUAAGAAUGAGCUAAACAGGGGUCAAACACUCCAUACAUCAUGAAAAAGCAGAGGCUUAAUACUUUUAGGGGGGCUUGGAAACAUGUGAAGAGCCGAUGCGAGAGAAAUAGUGAUGUUAGCCAUAUGAUUUGCAGCAUAGUUGGCUUCCCGGUAUAUAUGAUUGAUGCGAACAGUCCAAUCUCGCUUGAUAAGCUCUCACCAAAUAAGGGGAGAGAAUUCGAAGUUCAAACAAGAAGAAUUGGCAACCAUCUGAUACGCACAUAAGCUAUCCACCUCCACUUGAUGCCAGCGUAUACCCAAUUGCCAAGCAAUGAUCAGCCCCUGGAAAAGACCCCAUAGCUCAGCCAUCACAACAGAACAGGAUCCAAUAUUCACGCCGAACCCCUUCACCCACCCUCCAUUAUGAUCCCGAAUUAAACUGCCAACCGAAGACACUCCUAACUGCUUGCAUGCCCCAUCAGUGUUUAACUUGUACCGUGGCCAUAUCGGAGUAUACCACCCAACCAAUUUCUCACACUUUCUUCCACUAAUCAUUAAGGUAGAAUUAUACAAGCUUUGAAUCUCUUCAGCUCUGCCCAAGACAUCAUGAAACAUGUCAUUUCUACCCAAAAAGGAGUGCUGUAAAAUAAAUUGGUUCCUUCAGAACCAUAAUCGCCAAAUUGCCACCCCAAAGAAACAUGUCCAUUUCAAACCUUUAUGGAAGGACCAUUGAUCAUCGAGAUUUUCCCGCAAGCAUUCUCGCAACCCUGGCUUGUAUAACUCUUCCUGAUGAGCCCUGGGAAUAACUAGAUUCCAAAAACUCUUAGCAACCAUACAAUCUCGUGAUGUCCUCCAUAGGAGCGCCACACCUAUCGCACUCACAACUAUGAACAACAUGCCUUCUCAAUAACUCUACUUUUAUUUUAAGUUGUCCAUGGAGUACCAGCCAAAUAAAUAUACGCACAUUAUGGGGCCCCUGCCAAUGCCACACCAAGUUCCAAAUUCUGUCUUCCGCUUGAUACCGAUGGGAACUAAUGGCAUGGUAGGCAGAUUUAACCGAAAAAUUCUCCAUUUUUAGAGUUCACCCAAUAAAAGCAGUCAUUUCCACACUGAGCUAAAGGGAGAACACAAGAGGCUAUCUGCAGAAUAAUGUUAUUAGGUAGAUAACGUUGAAACAGCUCCCACCUCUAACUACUAUUACUAUCUAUGAAAUUAGCCACUACAUUGUAGAUUAUGUCAUCGGGUAUCGGACAAAGAGCUUCAGAAAUCAGAGGUUUUUCUUUUAUCACCCAACGGUCCAACCAAAAUUGGACUUUAGUGCCAUCACCUAUAUUCCAAGCAACACCUGAGAGAACGUCAGUCCAAACCUUCCCAAUCGACUACCACAAGUGGGAGCCAUUUCUACAAGGCAAUUCAGUAGGAUGGACAGAUAAAUCCACCCCAUAUUUAGUUGACAAAACCUGAGGCCAUAGACUUGAAGGAGAUAAAAGAAUACCCCAACCAACCUUCAUGAGAAAGGACUUAUUCAUCCCAUCCAGACUUUUGAAGCCUAAACCGCCAUUAAUUUUAGGCUGACAAAUAUUAUUCCAACUGACCAUACUUAGUUUUUGAGAAGUUACAGCACCACUCCAUAUGAAACGCUUGCAUGCAUGGUCUAUCUUCAGCUUUAUCCCAGCAGGAAGGUCGGUUGACUGCAUUGCAUAAAUAGGGAGAGCUUGCAAAAUAGAUUGGGCUAGCGUAAUCCGGCGAGCCAAGGAUAAGUGGGAAACAUUCCAUCCAGAGAGCCUUAUCUACAUGUAGAUGCAGCAACCAGAUGGAUUCAUACAAAAAGGCCAAGAACACAUGGUAUGUAACUUAUAGAGAUCCAUUUAUGGAUUAAAGCAAGCAUCCCGGUCAUGGUACAUCAGAUUUGAUCAAGCGAUUAAAUCGUUUGGAUUCAUUCAAAACAUUGAUGAACCAUGUGUGUACAAGAAAAUUCAAGGAAAAUAUGUAGCCUUCCUAGUUCUUUAUGUAGACGAUAUUCUCCUAAUUGGAAACGAUAUAGGAGUAUUGACUACAAUAAAGAGUUGGUUAGCCAAACAAUUUGAUAUAAAAGACCUGGGAAAGGCAAGUUAUAUUCUUGGUAUCAAGUUACUACGAGACCGGAAGAAUAAAACUUUAGCACUGUCUUAAGCAGUCUAUAUCGAUAAGAUAUUGGCGAGAUUUAGUAUGGAAAAUUUCAAGACUGGUUUAUUACCAUUCAGACAUGGAAUUACAUUCUCUAAGGAUCAAUCACCUAAAACAUCUGAAAAGAUAGAGAAUGAGACGAGUUCCUUACGCAGAAGCUGUGGGAAGUCUCAUGUAUGCCAUGCUUUGCACUAGGUCAGACAUCUGUUUUGCAGUAGGGAUGGUUAGUAGAUAUCAAUCUAAUCCUGGACUUGAACACUGGACUGCGGUCAAGCAUAUAAUAAAGUAUCUGAAAAGAACUAAAAAUUAUAUGCUUGUGUAUUCUGGUGAUGAACUCAUUCCAGUGGGUUAUACUGAUUCUGACUUUAUGUCAAAUAAGGAUUCCAGAAAAUCAACUUCCGGCUAUAUGUCUACAUUGGGAAGUGGAGCUAUUAGUUGGGGGAGUGUGAAAAAAUCUUGUAUCGCAGACUCCACAACUGAAGCUGAAUAUGUGGUUGCAUCCGAAGCCGUAAAAGAAACUAUAUGGCUCUGCAAGUUCCUACAAGAUCUUGAUGUAGUACCUGUUGUAAUUGCACCCCUUAAACUAUUUUGCGAUAAUAAUGGUGCGGUAGCUUAAUUUAAGGAACCAAGGAACCACAAGAAACAAAACAUAUUGAGAGGAAGUAUCAUCUUAUAAGGGAUAUAGUGUAGAGAGGUGAUGUGGAGGUUACUCAAAUUGCGUCACAGCAAAACUUGGCAGAUCCUUUUACUAAGGCCAUGCCUGGGAAACCUUUUAAGUUCCACUUAGAAUCCAUGGGCAUGCGUGAGAUGUCAAAUAUGCUUUGAGAGCUAGUGGGAGAUUGUUGGGAAAAUAUGCUCUUUAAAAGCAUAUGUGUUUAUUUAAUUGUAAUAAAUAAUUUUUCUUACUAAUAUAAUAAAUGAGGUAUUUUAUUCAAAUAUCUUAAUUGCAUUAAUAUUUUGAUUAAAGUUCAUUUAAUCAUAUUAUAUGUAUUUAUGUGAUCACUAUGUGGAUUCACAGAAGACAUAAAUACAAGUUAUCUUAUGAUUAAAUAAAUUUAGUUCGCAGUUGAUAAAUAAAGUUGGACACUUUAUUUAAGUAUAGACUGUAAUGAAUUCAUUGAAGGAUUUGUCUUAAUCAUGUAUGAAUUUAUUGAUGUAGUACGACUACAUUGAACAUGAUCACAUAUGAGAUUUAAUUAACCUUGAAAUGACUAUCAGACUUAUUAAAUCUCAUAGGCAUUGAUUUUACAGUAAUCUUAAUCUUGAGUUAGUUAUGAUUUCAUGAUUGUAAUUGUUAUUCCAUUUGAGUUACUAAUGGGCACGACACACAACUGUGGUCAAGAUUACCCGGUAUCUUGGUGGGAGGAAUUAUGAGUAUUGGAGUUAUAGAUUAACAAUAUAGAAUUUGUACAGCACAUCUCUUGAUGGGUUUUCGGCACUUGAUCAUAGAAUUCUCUUGCCAGAGUGUGUCAACAUAUUUAGUAUGUUGAAAAUUAUCAUUAGAGAGAACCAGUAAGUAUCAAGGAAUAAGAUGUAAUUAAAUCGAUUAGACAGUUGAGAUAUCGAUUUAAUUAACGAUGUGGUUCAAAGGAUUAUGCAAUAAAGAAAUCAAUGUGGCUUGGGACGAAUUAUUAUUCGAGCAUACAAUUAUGGAGGUCAGUUCCAAUCUUUUAGUAGAGUAGAUUUGGAAUUAAAUAAUUGGGCUAGUUUAAUUACAAGCCUAAUUAUUAUAGCCACUAUUAUUUAUUCCCAAAUGAUCCCCAUGUUUGCUCAUUUAAUUGACUGCACCACUACUGGAUUAAUAAGUAAGAUAACUAACUAUUUAGGUUAAAAGCCUAAAUAUAUUAUUUAGUGGGAGGCUUCAUAUAAUGUACUUGUGUCUAAGGGGCCUUGUGUUAUUUUACAAGGGUGGCCCUUAUAUCAAGAAAGAAGUAACGCUACUUUUGGUUUAUUAUUUUUAAUUUAAAUCAAACUUGAUUUAAUAGAAUAAAAUAAUAUUAAAAAAAUAGAGCCUAGGGUUUCCACUAGAUAGAGUUAUAAAAAGGCUUAUUUUCUCCCAAAAUAAGGUAGAGCAGUCACUUUAUACAUAUCAGAGAAAAAGAUUUUUUUCUCUAAUUUUGAGAGAAAAAUUUUCUUGUGCUAGUUGCUUUAGUGGUUAUAAAGGCACCCACAUAUCAAGUGCAGAUCAAAUUUGAGUCAUAACCUAGAAGAUCAUUGGUGACAGUUCUUGAUCUAACAAGUGUGGUGGUGAUAGAUCAUGAUCCAACAGGCGUGGUGGCGACGGAUCGUGAUCUAGGAGCCUAGUUUCACUUCAGCGGAAAAAGCAAAGAUUGUUCAUCUUCUCAGAUUUUCAAGGUACGAUUUCUAGAUUAUGAAUUCUUAUAUAUUAUAUGAGAUCGACCCUAGAAACUUUUUUUUAAUUUAAAAAAUUGAUUUUUCUCCAAUAAUUGGUAUCAGAGCCUUCUCAUAUUAAUAUAUAAGAAUAUCGUAUGAAAUCAAUCUCGAUAUUUAUGUAUUAGAGUGGCACAGUUUAUUCAGAUAUAUAUUAUUUGUUUAAUAUAUGAAUAAAGCAUGCUUAUGGUUUGUCUUAAUUCAUGGUUAGAUUUUUCGUUGUAUUUUUUCUUUAAAUUUGUAACAAGAGGGGUGAUAUUUUAUCACUAUGUUUCCUUCUUGAUUUAUUUUAGUGUUAUGGAAAUUUUGUAAGCCAAAAUUGGCCUAGGAAAUUUGUAAAUCGCUGGAGAUUAAUCACGCAACGAUAGAUCAAAGGAACGAAGGUCGAAAAUUUCAGCAAAGUGCGGCCAUGUCAGCAGCAGCGUGCGCGCAACCAGCAACGCGUGCUACAACCAGCGCUGCAAGUAACUCGCCCAGCAGCUGCAGCGCGCGACCAGUAGCGCCACCAGCUGCACGAGUAAAGGCCUUCCGGUGUAGCGUGGUGGCGGGUGACUCGUUUUUUGGCUUUCCGGUGCGGACGCAACGUUUAACUUGGCGUCGAAGAUGGCUGGAAAUUGUGAACGGCUGGUUGUUUGAGGUGGUGGCAGCUGGGGAAGAAGGAAAAGAAAAAAAUGAUUUUAGGGUUUCACAGUUAUUAUCAUUGGGGUCCCUAUAGUUUCACAUUUUUUUCCUUUGGGUAGAAAAGUCUUAAUUGUUUACAUUUAAGUCCAAAAUAGUUUUGGACUUAAAGAAUCCUAGUUUUAGGCCCAAUUUCAAUUGAGUUUAAUGGAUUAAAAUGCAUAGAUAAAAUUGGACACAUUAAAUUUAUUUUUUGUCCAAAAGUUUUAUUUUAAUAAAAAAAAUUAAUUAUUUAUUUAUUUCCUUUCAAAAUUAAAAUUGAACCAAUAAUAAAUUUAAAAGCUCAAUUUCCCCUAGUCCAUUAACAAAGACAAGUCUAUGGAAGAUGGACAUUAACAAGAAGCCCAAUGAAGAUUAGGCUUAAGGUUAAUGUAUUUUUUCAUUUUAGGAAAGCCAUAAAUUAAGAUUUUUUAAUUAUUUUUCUAUAUGUUAUGUUUUGGAUGAUAACAUGUCAUAUAGAAUAAGUAGUGUCACUCUAUGCAUAAUGAUACAUGUCAUUCAUAUAUUAUGCAUCGCGUUAUAUUGUUUGUAAUUUGCGUAUGCUUAAUAAUAUUGGAUAUCAUCUAGAUAAUAUUAUAGGAAGCAUACAAUUAACAAUAUGUAUGUUUUAAAAAGGAAAAACUAAUUUUAAAAUAUUAAGUGGGAGAGGGAAAAUUCAAGAUAAUUUUUCUACGGGCUCCAUUGUUAGUUCAAUAAUAAAAUUAUAUAUAUACCUCGACUUCAUGAUACGGUGAUACUCCCUUCGGAGGGUAUAUAUAUUAGAUAUUUUAUUUGAUGAACUUUUUAAAGAUAAAAUUGAAAUAUUUUUCAAUCGAUUGUUCACCCCAACGGUGACUAUUGAUAUGAAAAAUACGUAGAUUGAAACAAUGAUUAUACAUUCAACUAAAAUUUGUUAUUAACCUUUCCAACGAAGCUCUGUUAACAAAUUUAGGCCUAAAAUGAUAACGAUAAUUAUUUAUCAUGUCUCUACAUGAAAGUAAAUAAUCCAAUGGGUAAUUGGGUCUAGUAAGUGUAGACUCGACUUCCCCAAUUGAUAGCUUGUCAAAGCGGUACUAGAUUAUUGUUACAAUAAAUUAAAAUGCAUUUAUGGUUUUAUGCAUUUUUGUCAUUUAUUGUGAAUAUUAUUUCAAAUUAUUUAUGCAUGGAUGUUUUAUUUUUCAGAAAAUGUCUUUCCUAAGCCCACUUACUAUUAUUCUGAGUCAAAACAAACUUACUGGAGAGAACUAUAUAGAUUGGAAAAGAAAUCUAUUCAUUAUCCUGACUACUGAAAAUUAUAAAUAUGUCUUAACCCAACCGUGCCCUCCAGUUCCAGUGGAAGAUGCUCAUACAAAUCAGAUGAGGCUUUAUGAGAAAUGGCAAAAGGCUAAUGAAAUGGCAAAAUGCCACAUUUUAGCCUCAAUUUCUAAUAUUCUACAGACCAAAGAUCAGAACUUGGAGACUGCCACUGAAAUAAUGGAUAGUCUCCAACAGAUGUUCGGGUAGAGUACUCGUUCCGCGAGACAAGCAGCGCUGAAAGGAAUUAUGAACAGUAAAAUGGGGAAGGGCACAAGAGUUCGUGAUCAUGUCCUCAAAAUGAUGGACUGUUUGAAUAAGGUUGAGAUUCAGGGAGCACAAAUCGAUGAUAACUCAAAGAUUGACAUGGUGUUAGAAUCUCUGCCAGAAACAUUCAAGGAGUUUAAGGUCAAUUAUAACAUGAACAAAAAAAACAUUACCUUAACUAAAUUGAUGAACGAACUUCAUUCGGCUGAAGAGAUCUAUCGUGCUGAGAAAUCUCUGGGAAGCAUAAAUAUUGCUGAAAAAGGUUCUUCUUCUAGACCUAAGCCGAAAGGCAAAGGUAAGAAGAAAGCUGGGAAAAAGAGACCGUUUACCAAGCAAGAUGGCAAGCCGAAAUUAAAUACUUCAAGUGUGAACAGAAAGGUCAUUGGAAAAAGGAUUGCCCUAAGAUUGUGAAAUCAAGUAUGGGAAAUCGUUUUGUAAUUGAGGCAUGUUUAGUUCAGAACUCUAUUGACACUUGGGUGUUGGAUUCAGGAGCAACUAAUCAUAUCUGUAAUUCACUUUAUUGGUUUCAGGAAACCAGGAAAAUAAGUGAAGAAAGCGUCAAGCUACAGUUAGGGACAUGACAGUUCGUGUCAGCAGUGAAGACUGGAUCUGUUUUAUUAUCUUUUAAUAAUAAAACUUUAAUUUUGAAUAAUUGUCUUUAUAUUCCAGACAUUAAGGGGAAUUUAAUUUCAGUAGCUUGUUUGUCAAAGUAAGGGUACACUGUAAAUUUUGGAUCCUCUGUUUUUAUUUUUUAUAAUAAGAGACUUAUUUGUUCUGGUACAUUGGAAGAUAAUUUAUAUCAUUUAAGUCCAAUGAUCCAUUCUAUGCAUGACAUAGUGAUCAAUAAUUAUGAGCAUACACAUUUAUCUAAGAAAAGAAAUAUUUCUUCCAACCAAUAUUACCUUUGGCAUUUACGCUUGGGUCAUAUAAACCAAAAUAGGAUACAUAGAAUGAUCAAAGAUGAGCUCUUGGGUCCAUUAGAAAAUGAAUCAUUGCCACUCUGUGAAUCAUGUUUAGAAGGAAAAAUGACCAAAAGGCCAUUCUCGGCCAAAAGAGUACGUGCAACAGUACCACUUGAAUUGGUACAUACAGAUGUAUGUGGACCAAUCAAUAUAAAAGCUCGAGGAGGUUAUGAGUAUUUCAUUACUUUCACUGAUGAUUACUUAAGAUACAGUUAUGUUUAUCUAAUGCGUCACAAAUCUGAAGCUCUUAAGAAAUUCAAAGAGUACAGGGCUGAGACAGAAAAGCAAUUAGAUAAGAACAUAAAGAAACUUCGAUCUAAUCAAGGUGGUGAAUUUCUCUCAAGAGAUUUCAAAGAGUAUCUAGUUGAAAAUGAGAUUAUAUCUCAGUUGACUGCCCCAGGAACACCACAAUAAAAUGGGGUAGCUGAAAGGAGAAAUAGAAUUCUUUUGGAUAUGGUGAGAUCUAUGCUUAGUUAUUCGUCAUUACCAAUCUCUUUUUAGGGACUAGCACUGGAAACUGUAGUUUACCUCUUGAACUUAGUUCCAUCUAAGUCAAUGCCUAAAACCCCAAUAGAAUUAUGGUCAGGUCGUAGACCAAGUUUACGACAUGUCCGUAUUUGGGGAUCACUAGCACAUGUGCUGAAACCAAAGGCAGAUAAAAUGGAUUCACAUUCUGACGUUUGUAUAUUUAUGGGGUAUCCUAAAGGAACAAGGGAAUGUUUAUUUUAUAGUCCUCAAGAUAGGAAAGUGAUCGUGAGCACACAUUUCACUUCCCUUAAUAAAGACUAUAUGAAUAACUUCAAACCUAAGAGUAAGGUAAUACUUGAAGAACUGUCAGGUGAUCAGGUUGAUGCUCAACUUUCAACACUUGUUACAGAACAGGAAGAACAACAACAACCAGCUAAUCAACACAGGAUUAUCCCUGAACAACCAUCACUUUUAGAAUUUCAUCAUAGUGGGAGGGUAACUAGGUUACCUGCGAGAUACAUGUUAUUAGGAGAAACCUAUACGGCUAUCUCAGAUGAACAUGUAUAAGAUCCUACUAGCUACAACGAAGCUAUAAUAGAUAGAGAUGUUGAAUUUUAGAAAAAGACCAUGAACCAAGAAAUGGAAUCCAUGUACUCCAAUAAAGUCUGGGAACUUGUAGAGGCACCAAAUGGGGUAAAACCUAUAGGGUGCAAGCGGAUCUACAAGAGAAAAAGAGAAGUAGACAGAAAGGUGGAAAUAUUUAAAGCAAGAUUAGUAGCCAAAGGGUUUACUUAGAAAGAGGGAAUUGAUUAUAAGGAAACCUUUUCUCCAGUUGCUAUGCUUAAAUCCAUCAAGAUUCUGCUCUCCAUUACUGCAGUGCUAGAUUAUAAAAUUUGGCAAAUGGAUGUCAAGACUGCCUUUCUUAAUGGGCAUCUUGAAGAAGACAUCUACAUAUAGCAACCAGAUGGAUUCAUACAAAAAGGAUCAAUCACCUAAAACAUCUGAAAAGAUAGAGAGAAUGAGACGAGUUCCCUAUGCAGAAGAUGUGGGAAGUCUCAUGUAUGUCAUGCUUUGCACUAGGCCAGACAUCUGUUUUGCAGUAGGGAUGGUUAGUAGAUAUCAAUCUAAUCCUGGACCUGAACACUGGACUGCGGUCAAGCAUAUAAUAAAGUAUAUGAAAAGAACUAAAAAUUAUAUGCUUGUGUAUUCUGGUGAUGAACUCAUUCCAGUGGGUUAUAUUGAUUUUGACUUUAUGUCAAAUAAGGAUUCCAGAAAAUCAACUUCCGGCUAUGUGUUUACAUUGGGAAAUGGAGCUAUUAGUUGGGGGAGUGUGAAAAAAUCUUGUAUCGCAGACUCCACAACUGAAGCUGAAUAUGUGGUUACAUCCGAAGCCGUAAAAGAAACUAUAUGGCUCCGCAAGUUCCUACAAGAUCUUGAGGUGGUACCUGCUGUAACUGCACCCCUUAAACUAUUUUACGAUAAUAGUGGUGCGGUAGCCCAAUUUAAGGAACCAAUGAACCACAAGAAACAAAAACAUAUGGAGAGGAAGUAUCAUCUUAUAAGGGAUAUAGUGCAGAGAGGUGAUGUAGAGGUUACUCAGAUUGCAGCACAGCAAAACUUGGUAGAUCCUUUUACUAAGGCCAUACCUGGGAAACCUUUUAACUUGCACUUAGAAUCCAUGGCCAUGCGUGAGAUGCCAAAUAUGCUUUGAGAGCUAGUGGGAGAUUGUUAGGAAAAUAUGCUCUUUAAAAGCAUAUGUGUUUAUUUAAUUGUAAUAAAUAAUUUUUCUGAUUAAUAUAAUAAAUGAGAUAUUUUAUUCAAAUAUCUUAAUUGCAUUAAUAUUUUGAUUAAAGUCCAUUUAAUCAUAUUAUAUGUAUUUAUGUGAUCACUAUGUGGAUUCACAGAAGACAUAAAUACAAGUUAUCUUAUGAUUAAAUAAAUUUAGUUCGCAGUUGAUAAAUAAAGUUGGGCACUUUAUUUAAGUGUAAACUGUAAUGAAUUCAUUGAAAGAUUUAUCUUAAUCAUGUAUGAAUUUAUUGAUGUAGUACGACUACAUUGAACAUGAUCACAUAUGAGAUUUAAUUAACCUUGAAAUAACUGUCAGACUUAUUAAAUCUCAUAGGCAUUGAUUUUAUUAUAAUCUUAAUCUUGAGUUAGUUAUGAUUUCAUGAUUGUAAUUGUUAUUCCAUUUGAGUUACCAAUGGGCACGACACACAACUGUGGUCAAGAUUACCCGGUAUCUUGGUGGGAGGAAUUAUGAGUAUUGGAGUUAUAGAUUAAUAAUAUAGAAUUUGUAUAGCACAUCUCUUGAUGAGUUUUUGUCACUUGAUCAUAGAAUUCUCUGGCCAGAGUGUGUCAACAUAUUUAGUCUGUUGACAAUUAUCAUUAGAGAAAAUCAGUAAGUAUCAAGGAAUAAGAUGUAAUUAAAUCGAUUGGACAGUUGAGAUAUCGAUUUAAUUAACGAUGUGGUACAAAGAAUUAUGCAGUAAAGAAAUCGAUGUGGCUUAGGACGAAUUAUUAUUCGAGCAUACAAUUAUGGAGGUCAGUUCCAAUCUUUUAGUAUAGUAGAUUUGAAAUUAAAUAAUUGGGCUAGUUUAAUUAUAAGCCUAAUUAUUGAUAAGUGCAUAUUUUUCAUAUAUUUUGUUAUUAAUUUCUCCGUCUUUUUCUUGUUUUGAUCUUAAAUAUUCUAGUUAUUUUAGUUAAUUUUUAAUUGAAUAGGGAAUUAAUUAAUAUACAUAUUUUACCCUUUUAUUAUAUAUUUACUAGUUAUUUUAUUUCUUAUUUUUAAUUAAUUGUAUUAUUUUAUUGAAUAGAGAAUUAAUUGGAGAUUGUGGAAAAAAAAAGGCAUGAAGAAAUUCAAAUUGAGAAGGAAUAAAGAUUAAAUUGGAAGACAAAAAUACAGUCCAGAAUCGAUAGAACCGAGUGGAAGAAAUCAAAGCAAUUAAUCCAAUUGAGAAAUGUUGAAUAAUUAAAAGAUUUAAUUUUUCCAAUUGGCAAUUGGAUGCACGUGCAUGGCAUUGCAAAAGUGGAAAGCAAUUUAAACGGGCCCGCAAUUGACUUUCAAAAGUUGGAAUUAAUGGUUUUUGGUGGUGUUAAAUUGGAAAAGGAUUUCAAUUAGAAUUGAAAAAGGAUUUCUUUAGACUUGUUGGAGAAGAAUUCGGUCAUCUAGCAUUAUAAAAGGAGAGCUGCCAGAGAGCGAGAAAGAGGUGUGCAGACGCAAUUCGGGCAAAGGAAAAUCAGCAGCCGCAAGGAGAAGAAAUAAAUCAGCAGCUGGAAUUAAGUUAAAGCAAAGGCAGCCGCUUGAAUUAAUCUCCAUGAUUGGUUUUGUCAAUUCUCUUAUUCCUAAUUCAAUUAUGUUAUGCUAAAUUUUUAUUUGGUUGAGGGUGAAUUCAAAACCCUAAACAUGCUAUGCAAUUAAAUUUAAAUUCUAUCAUUCAAUUUAUUUAAUUGAGAUUGUUUAUACUCUUCUAUAAUUAAUGUUCAUGGUUUAUUCUUGUUUUAUUUGAGUGGCCAAUUAGAUAGGACUUGAAUAAAUUUUAUUGCUAGAUUAAAAUUCUUGAUCUGUAAUUGUCUUGAUAUUUUAAUCAUUAGUAGCAGGUUGGAAUUAGUGAUUUCAAUUGAAGAACAUAACCUAGGUUAAAUAAUCCAAGCUUGUGUGUUUAUUGCCUAAAUCAACCUAAUAUAUUUCUCUGUUUAAUGCUUCCAUUAUCUUAAAUUUAAAGAGCUUGUUUAAAAUUAUUUAAUGGUUAGAGAUUAGGUGAAGAGCUUGUUUUGCCUAACAACACACUAAGGAAAGAUUGAGACUAACAGAGCUUAUUAUUGUCUACGAUUGAUAGUUUCAAUAUAAAUUGAUAAUAGAAUUGAUAUAUUAUGUGCAUGUGUGGUGGUGGCGAAUGAUCCUUUAACCAAAGUUUUCAUCAUUAUUAUUUCUUUCUCCUUUAAUUAGAGUUUUUAUUAAAUUCUUGUUCGUAGUUUAAAUUUCUUUACUUCUUACUAUUUAGUUAAAAAUUCAUAAACCCCCUUUUUAUUAGAGGUGGACAUUUUACCCAACCCGACCCGAUAAAUUUCGGGUUCAGGUCGGAUCGGGUCGAGAUCGAAACCCGAUCGGUUUGAAAUUUACAAACCCGAUCGAGUUGUGAUCGGAUCGGGUCAAACCCGACCCGAUCCGAAUACCCGAUCGGGUUCUAAAAAAAAAAAACGUAAGCUAACAGUCUAAGUGUCUAACACUGCAUACACACAGAGCAAUGGUUUCACUUUCAAACUUUCAAUCACUUAAGUUAACACUAACAGUAGCAACAAAAUUGCAGUAAACAAAUUUAAGAAGAACUGAAGAAGAUGUUUAACACUUUAACAGUUUAAGCCACAGGCCCACAGUCAAUGAGUCAACACUCAACAGCAACUACACAAGUCACACACAUACGCUGCUCGCUCGGCUGCUGCACAACACACACACACAUAACUUGUCACAAGCUGCACAGCACACAGCCACACGGCCCACACACACAUACGCCGCUGCACACACACAACACAACUACACAAGUCACAAGCUGAAGCUGCACACUUGCACAGCACACACACAGAAUGACAGAACAAAACAAGACAGAACAGAACACACACGAGCUGCACAGCACAUACACACGCUGCAUAGCCACUCAAGUCUCAACAAUUCACUCGCAAACCUAACACACACUCAUACACACGCUGUCAGCCACAACUCACAAGUUCAAACAACUAAACAAACACAAACAACUUAACAAUAGAACAAGGCAGCCGCAACCCGCAAGUCUGCAACCACCAACCAGCCACCACAAGACGGAUCUGUUGCUGCCAACUGCUAAAGAAAUCACGAUCUGUUGCUGCCAAGUGAAGUCGCAACUAGUCGUGAGCCGUCCGCAUCUCCGCGAUCUGCUGCCAAGUGAAAUCCCGUCCGUCCAGCCGUGAGCCGUGGCCACCGAUCUGCUGCUUGAAGGCCGAAUCCUCUCCACCCGAACCCAAUUUUGAAGCUUUCCGGUUUCCACCUUCCAUUUUGAAGUUUCAAGCUUCAAGCUUCAAGCCUUCAAGCCUUCAAGCCUUCAAGCCUUCAACUUUAUUGAAGUUCCCAAGUCGUUUCAGACUUUUAAUUUUCCUUUAGUUCAACUUCACGCCUCACGGUAUAUAAGUAUAUAACUAUAUAUACACUAUAUAAUUAAUUAAUUAUAUAUGUGCUAAAUAAUUUAUUACUUUAUUAUGUAAUUGAGUAAUUGGUUAAUUGUUAUUAUUUAAUUGUUGUAAUUAACUAAUUAUGUAUUUAUAAAUAUUAGUAAUAAAAUCAAGGAAAUUUUGUUAAUUAUUGAGCUCAUCAGAAAUUAUUUUUUUGUCAUAUAUAAAAAGGAAUUGAAUAUUGAUGAUUGGUGAUUUGGUGGGUUUUGUUUUUAUUUAAUUGAUUAUUAAUUUUUUAUCGUUGGCUCUCUUUAGCGAAUUAGACUAUAACAAAUUAACAAUCAAGCACAAAGAAUAUAUGAAAAUGGUGUAAGUUUUUAUUUGGAAAUUGUGCUUUGGACUUUGUAAGUUUGUAUUAAUUUUAACUUUUAUUAAGUUUAGAACUUUGGAUUUUGUUGAUUGAGCAAAUAAUAGUCCUAAUUCUACCCUCUAAGUCCAAGCCAAUAGGCAAAUAAUCCUAUUAUAGCUUUUUAACUUUAUUCAUUUGAAUUAAUAACAUUUUCUUUUCUUUUUUUCAGUUGAAAAUUAGUAAAAAUGACUACAAUUAAGAAAAAUGUCUUAAAACUUUCAUAAAAAACGACAAUAAUAGGAAAAAAAGAGAUCAAAAUUGUAUUUAACCGAAUUUGAUCCGAAUUGACCUAAUUUAAACUGACCCGAACUGACCCGAAUUAACCCGAACUGACCCGAAUUGACCCGAUUUCAACCGACCCAAACUGACUCGAAUUAACCCGAAUUGACCCGAACUCAAUCCUACCCGUUUUAAAUCCAACUCGAUCCAACCCGAAUAUAACCCGAAUUAAUGACCCAACCCGAACUACGUUCGGGUCAGUUCGGGUCGGGUCAUUAAUUCGGGUUAUGUUCGGAUUGUUCCUUGUCUAACCCGAAACCCGAUCGGGUUGACCCGAACCGGAUUUUGCCCACCCCUACUUUUUAUUUAUAAUUGUAUUUUCUUUAGUUAGAUUAAUUUAUAUUAUUAUUACUAUUAUUAUUACUACUAUUAUUUUAUUUUAAAUCUUGCUUUAGAGUUGAUAAUAAAUAUAACUACAUAGUCUUUGUGGGAUCGAUCCUUACUCGCUUUGUACUAAUUAUUUAUAUUAGUGGUAAGGUUUUAAAUUUGGUACACCUUAACGACACUACCAAUUAUUAUGGUCACUAUUGUUUGUUCCCAAAUGAUCUCUAGGUUAGCUCAUUUAAUUGACUGCGCCACUACUGAAUUAAUAAGUAAGAUAACUAAUUAUUUGGGUUAAAAGCCUAAAUAUAUUAUUUAGUGAGCGGCUCCAUGUAAUGUACUUGUGUCUAAGAAGCCUUGUGUUAUUUUACAAGGUGGGCCCUUAUGACAAGAAAGAAGUAACAUUACUUUUGGUUUAUUAUUUUUAAUUUAAAUCAAACUUGAUUUAAUAUAAUAAAAUAAUAUUAAAAAAAUAGAGCCUAGGGUUUCCACUAGAUAGAGAUAUAAAAGGGCUUAUACUCUUCCAAAAGAAGGUGGAGCAGCUACUUUAUACAGAUCAGAUAAAAAGAUUUUUCUCUCUAAUUUUGAGAGAAAAAUUUUCUCGUGCUAGUUGCUUUAGUGGUGAUAAAGGCAUCCACACAUCAAGUGCAAAUAAAACCUAAGUCAUAACCUGGAAGAUCAUUGGUGACAGUUCUUGAUCUAACAAGUGUGGUGGUGACAAAUCGUGAUCUAACAGGCGUGGUGGUGACGGAUCGUAAUCUAGGAGCCUAGUUUCACUUCAGCGGAAAAAGCAAAGAUUGUUCAUCUUCUCAGAUUUUCAAGGUACGAUUUCUAGAUUACGAAUUCUUAUAUAUUGUAUAAGAUCGACCCUAAAAAAUUUUUUUUAAUUUAAAAAACUGAUUUUUCUCCAACAUCUUCUUCAUCAUCCUCCAUAUCCGCCCGGUCAACCAAGAACUUACCAUCAGGGGGAUCUCCAAUUGAAUUGGAGAGUUGGACUAAAUCGUCCAUGUUCGGAUUAGCCAACAUGGGCUCACUAGGAUUGGUACCAACAUGAAGGUUAAUAGUGUUCGUUUCAGGGAGGAAAGAGAUGGCAAAGUGGUUCGCAGGAUUGAGUUUUGUGGGUACAACGGUUGGCUUUGGGAGAUUAGACAAAAGAUGUGGAUGGUUUGCAUGGUUUGCAUGGGCCUUGGUUUUAUUACGUAGGAAGCCAGGGGAGUGCAUGUGUUUUGAGCUAGAGGCUAUAGGAUGGUGGACCAUAGGAAGGCCAUGUUUGGAGGUGUCCUCACGUGGAUGGUUAGAGAAGCGGGUCGAGCUUUUUGUUUUCUUUUGUUUAUUAUUGGAAGGGAAAGGCCGGUUACUUUCUUCGUGAGUUGGCAUAUGGAUACUCUUGGUAACCAAAGAUUCCUUAUUCAAGCCAUGGUUAGAAAUCUCAUCAUCAACGCUAGCUAGGACAUCGAAGCGUGAUUACUUUCCAAAAUACUCCCGCUGAUCACGUUCAGAAUCCCAGGUGAGCUCUUUUGCCUUUUCUACACGAGACCUGCCUUUUCUAGCCACAACCAUCCAGGGACCAAAUGUAACGCCCACUUUUAUUUAUUUAUUUUUUUCCUCUUUUUCCCUUAUUAAAUUGAGUAGGAUAGUUAUUAUUGAAUAUUUGUGUGAGAGUAAAAUUUAUCAAAUUGCUUUAAAUAAGUUACGUAAGUUGUUAGUUUUUAUAAAAAAAAAUUAAUAAUUAUCAAAUAUUUAAGAGGAAGCCAUCUUUUUAAGCCGUCUUUUAUUUUUUUACACCGUUACAAACCCUAGAAAAAAAAAAAGAAAGAAACAUAAGUCUUUGGAGCAGGAAAAGAAAGUUUUAUAACUUCUUUUCUUAGUGUUUGCCUUAAGGUAUUAAGUAUUUCUUUGACUUUUAUGAUUUAUUUUUAUAAAUUGUUUGCCUUUAAUUACUUGUAGUAUGAUUUGGGUAAUAUAUGUGUAUUUGUAAUGUUGUGAUGAUAUGAAUAGUCUCUAUUCCUUGCUUGAAAUCGUUUUCUUUACUUAGAAUCAAAUAAAUAUGCUUACAUAUCAUGGAACUAGACAUCAUAAGCUUUCCAUUGAUAGGUUUUGUGUUGAAAUCAUCUGAGUAUGCAAAUUGUUAUGGGUUUUCGAAGUUGGGUUACUAGUGCUGGAAAAUUCUGAUUUUAAGCAGUGGUUCUCAAUUCUAGAAAUUUUUCUGUAAAGUUACACAUCCUUAAAAAGUAUGGCGAUUUUUGUAUCAACAGAUCUAUGUCUCCUAUGCUUGCAUGUUUAAUUUCGUAGUUUUAUUCUUUAUGGUUAAAUUAUUAAAAAUCAUAACAUGUGGCUGCUGCAAAUCUGGAAACUGUUUUCCAGAAUUGCAGAAGCUGAAACAUGUAACAGUUGGGCUAAUUUAUGAAUAUUACAUGCCAUGUUAGGAUUUUACAAUGAAAUUCUGUUUUCAAAUCUGGAAUUUUCUGGACAGGUUAGAUGUUCUCGGAAAAUAAAACAUUUUAAAAUAGUUUCAGGAGUCCAAAAAUUAUGAAUUUUAAUUAUAUGCUUUCUGAAUGUGUCUUCUGUAAUUAGAUAAAAAAAAAGAAACAUAUUAUUUCGAUUACUAAAGAAUAUUUUAUGAAUUUCCUAAGUGGUAAAGGUUUGUUUUGGUCAAUGCUGGGCAGUUUUGUUACUUUGGUGAAAGGUCAUUAUUCUGACUCGAUUUUGACUUGUGCUGAUCUUUGUGAAAUAUUGUAUGCAAUGCUAUGCAUGUUCAUAGUGCCUCUGUAAAUUUUCGUGGUUUUCGGACAUGUGUAUAUUUUAUUAAAAAUCAGCAUGUGCAAGAUACUCAUACUUAUGUCUAGAUUAUGAAUAAGUAUUGAGCUAGUAUAAGUGGCUAUGAAUUAAGGAUGAUUCAAAUUAUGUUUAAGGUUCGAGAUGAUAUUGAUAAAGAUAUUUUUAUGAUGAUUAUAGGAUAUGGGUGAGCUCGUUGGUUUGUUCUUAAGGUAUUGAGUUGAUUGUUGCGGAUCGAGGUAAGUAGAUUCAUGCAUGAUGUGCUUUAUAAUAAAUGUGAUUUAUGUCAUAGGAAUUAUGUUUAAAUGGAGAUUUUUACAAAAUUGAUUUCUAAAAUAUUUAAAUGAAUUUUGUAAAAUAAAAACACUUUUAAAUGAAUUUAUAAAAAUGUGUUUUAAAAUGAAUUUUUCUUAAGAAAUUAGUUUUCUUAAACAAAAUGUUUUCAUAAAGAAUUUUCUUAAAGAAUUAAAUGAUCAAAGAAAUGUUCUUAAAUGUUUUAUAAGACUUUAAAUGCUAUUUAUGAAAGGAUGUAAGGUGGAUUCAAAAAUGUUUUGGCUCAUAGUCCAUCGUAAUGUAUACAAUGCAAAUGUUAUGAUGUUAUGUAAUGUUAUGGCCAGCUUGCUGGUAUGAUGAUGAUCUUGUGCACAAGGAUAUUAUGAACAAUGCGGGGUAUAGUACCCUGAAUGAGGAAUAAUGUGGGGUAUAAUGUUGUGCAAAUUUUAAUGUACUCGCAAGCGCACGAAUCUAUUGUAGUAUAGAUCUAUGGUGACGAGUGUCGAUCCCACGAGGAGGUGGAUUUUAAUUGUGUAGAAUUAAUUUUGUAAAUGGGUGAUUGGAUUUAUGGUGGAAAUGAUUUGGAAUAUGCUAAAACUUAAAUUAAAAUGGCGAGAAUAAAUUCUAAAAUUGGUAUUGAAAUGGCGAGAAUAAAUUGACGAGAAUUAUAUUGAAAUGACGUACUUGGGUAUCUGGAUUCGUAUCAACAUACAUCAUGGGCUAAAUAAUCCGUAUUAAUGCCAAUUAAAUCAUGAGGGGGGAAUCCACACCUCAUGAACCACGCUCUAAUCAAUAUGGUGCUAAGGGCUUAUCAUGCCAAAUAAUAAUAACCUUAUACUAGAGAGCCGGUGUAACCAAGGCGGUAUCUAGACAAGACUAUUAUUAUUUGUCGACGAGAAGUCAAAACAUCCACAAAAAUUAGAGGGGAAGAGAAAAUAAAUUUACCAAAUUAAGCCCAUGACACAUGUUGAGACUUCACCUUCAACCCAAGCUUGAAAGAAAAUUAGCCACUCAUAAUUGAACUAGGGGCAAAAUGGGAAUUUAUUAAAAUACGAAGAAAAUACAAGAUGGAGAAGGAAUUAAAGAAAAUGGAUCCCAAAAAUGGAUUCAGAGAUAUCAAAUUAGGGGGGAGAGGCCCCCUUUUUAUAGAUACAUGGAGUAAAUCAUGGCCAUCGGAUUAAAAACAGUUUGGACGCUCAGGAUUGCGCCACGUCAUCAGUCAACAGUCCACGGUUUGACCACGCGGAUGAACAGUAACACGGUUUGACCCGACUUUGAACAGUAACGCGGUUUGACCCGGAUGAACAGUAACGCGGUUUGGUUGAAAAUAAUCCUGUGUGAUGCAUGCACCGUACGCGAGAUUUUUCAUCCACUGAUAUGCUGCCACGUCACCAUCAACAGUACAUAAGAAUUUUAGUCCAACAGGAUCGUGACACCUCAUCAGUCAAUGUCACAUCAUCGGUCAAUGCCACGUCAUCAUCCGUCUAUGUGAACAGUGUCGUGAACAGUAACGUAUACAGUACCGUACACGUGAAUAGUACCGUACAUGUGAAUAGUGCCAUUUUUCCUUUUAUGCUCCUCUUAAGGUUUUCGACUGUCCUGAGUUCAAAAGUGAUGUCUGUUUUGCCGUCUGAUCUCUCCUUUAUUGUGAAAUGACUAUAAUGCCCCUAAAAUACAUAAAAUACUUAAUUAAAAUAAAACACAUGUAAUUAAAUCACAAGAAGGUUAAAUACAUAAAAGUAAGGGUUGUUAGUAAGACUUGAAAUGUAAAAUGACGGUUUUCUCCUUUAUAAAUAUGCAUUUUCUAACACUCAACAUAUAACACCCUAAAUUAUGAAUGAUGAAUGAUGAAUGAUGAUGACUACAAGGCAUGAGCUACCAAAUGUUUAUAUUUUAAAUUUUUUUUAUGAAUGUUUUAAUGUUUUUAAUGUUUUUACAUGAAUCCACCCCUUAUGCUAAAUGAAGAUGUUGUUAUAAAAUGUUUAAAGGUAUACGCCAAAGGUUUUUAAAUAUUGUGCAUGGAUUUGGUGACCGAGUUGACGACUCACCCCUCGUCUCUAAUAUUUUGCAGAUUGAUUAGAAAUGUGGCUUGGGUGCUUAGAUGGAGAAUUUUUCUUAGUGGAUCUUUGGAGUUGCUUUAAAGAUUAAAUUUGGCUAGACUUUUUAUUUUGAAUUAGAGAUUUUUCUUUGGAGGCUUUAUUUUACAUGUUUUAUGUAAGGAUUCAGUUGAAGUAUUAAUAAUGAUUGUCUAUCUUGAGAUUUAUUAAUAAGAAUAAAUGAUAUGAGGUUUCAUUCAAAUUUUGCCCUUGUGUUUUCAUGGGUAAUUUUUGGGGUGUUACACCAAACCUAGGCAAAUUCCCAUAUCCCUCCCCGACGUCCUGCAUCGGUGAUUCUGUUGUGAAACAAACCCUUUGAUGUCGAAUUAAUCUUGCCCCCUAGAUCUAAUUCAGACUCCAAGAUUAAGAACCAAAUCAACACAAGUCAUAACACUCACCAGAUCAAAGAAUAACAACACAAAAAAUACAAAAUACAAAACAAUUUAAGUGGUUCAGCACCUGUUACAGUGCCUACAUCCACUGGAGAAAACAAACUCAGGGAGCCACUUUAUUAAGCUUCAAAGGUUACAGAGAUGAUAAGCCCAAUACAGAGAACACUCAAAAAAGUUCCACUCUCUCUAAGGCUUCCUUAUCACUCUCAAUUCGAUAGAUCUAGAUGAAAUCAUAACCAACAUAUAUAUCAGCUGCUACUGGCGUUACAGAUCUAGAAGAUUCCCUCCAAAACUAACAAACUUAACUGCUUGACCACGAGCCUUUCACGUGCAACUUAAAGCCUUCCUUAAACGACGAUAAGGCAUGCCGUUUAAGCUUUAAAACAAGCUUAUGUUAAUCACGUGAGAGUUUAAUGAUCUUGGACGACAGCACCAAGUUGUCGGUUCUGGAUCCAUGACCAAUUGAAACAACAUGUCACUUGACUUUCCAAACCUCUAAACGACAAAUCGUUUACCCAGUUUGAGUUCAUUUCAACAGAUUCGUUAGCUCCGUCCAGAUGUGGCUGGUUUCCUAAGGCAUGAUCUUCUUCCGUUCGAUUAGGGCAGAUGUCCUUGCUAUGGCCAUAUUUACCACAUAGGAAGGAAAUAUUAGGGAGUCCUUCAUAUUCCACCUUCUGUAGCUUGCCAUCCAGUAAAAAUUGAGAAAUUAAGGGCUUGUUCGGAUCAAUUUCAACAGCAAGACGAGCAAAUUUGCCUCUGGAUGCGGAUUCAGUGUUGUAAUCAAUUUUAGAAACUCUCCCGAAAAUUUGUCCCAACAUUCGGGAGAAUUUUCGUAUUGUAGUAAUGUAGGGCCAUGCCUGGUAAGCGGAUUCAGGCUAUAACAUAUUCAAUCACUGCUGCCGAACUAUCAAAAUGGGGAGUCCAUUGCUUCACUGUUAGAUAGUGCCCCAGAAUAAUCCAAGGGCCUUGCGUCAAAGCGAACUCCACAUCCCUCUCUGUUCUGAAACGAACAAGAUAAUAAUCAUUUUCAAGGUCAAUUACAGAAAACCCUUGGGUCGAGCUCCAGAUGGCUUCCAAGCUGUUGCACAGCGUCCGGUAAACUAUGCGACGACCCCAAAGCUUGAACACCACCGUGUAUUGCCAUGGUUUCAUUAGUUGAGCAUGUACUUUCUGUGAAAAAGAAACGGAGUGAAAGGAAAGAGGCUGCACACUCAAAAACCACAUCUUCCAGUUCAACUACCAAAUCUUCCCCGCUAUCAAAAAACACUCCUUCAUCCACCCUUGUGUUGACAUCAGUUUAUCACGAAAGGAAGGAGGCUGAGGAUUGUCACCAUCUUCCCCUUGAGCCUUAAAUCUUGCUUUCUUUGUGGAACGAUCGUCAGCCAUAGGUGGAUUAGGGUUUUUCUCCAUUUCAAUUUUUCCUCACAUUAGGAACUCUUUUUUUUUUAAUUGGUUAUAUUUACUUUUUGAUUCUUGUAACUUUUUUCUUUAAGUGCCACCGCUCUAAUUUCUAUCCUCAUUUAACAGACUGCGGGUUGCGUUUGUCACUGUUAGCUGCACAUUGCCAUUUUUCGUGAGUAUGAUUUGCCGUAUGCAUGGAUACUGAAAGUAUCCCUUGUGCUAAAAAUGCUAUGAACCAUCCUUGAAUAAUCAAGUAUAACUGCAUGCAGAACAAAUUCAGCCGUUCUCAUGUUUUAGGUAGCAAAUAAUUAUCUUGUAGGAAUUAGAAUGAGCCUGACUUAAGUAUUUGCAUAUCCUGAAGACUUUUAUUCUCAAUAAAAAGUAACAUAUAUAUAUAUAUAUAUAUAUCAUUUCUUUUUCAUUUAUAAACCUUGAUCAAUGAGGGAAUUUAUUUUAUUAUCGAAAAGAGAUCCCUCAGAAGAAAGAAAAGCGGAGGCCAACAUCAACUGAAACUGCACUCUCUGGGAAUUCGCAACGCAUCAUGCAUUAUAAUUCAUCAUCAGCCUUUGGUGCCAGGAGAUGCUGUGAAAGCCAUGUGUUUGUCCCCCAAGGGAAUGGGCUGAAAAAGCAAUGUAAAACCGACAUCGAUAGUCUGUUGGUUUUGAACACCAUGCCCAUCUCCAUGUAGAUACAUAAAAUGGGACAUUCUCACAAGAUUCAAGAGGAACUCAGUAGUUGUUCGAGUCAAGGGAGAGUCUUUGUCGGCUGUGUAUGCAUUCACCUUCUUCCACAUCUGUCUCAUCAUAUCCUUGAUGUGUUCACGAGCAACUUCCUCCGAGGCACCAGUUUCAUGCAUGUAACACUGGAUUGAUUUCGGAACAUCCCCUCUCUGUAUCUCGUCCUGAUGAUUAUCGGGGAAAAAAAAAAUACAAUCAAUUCAUAUAUAGAGGAUUAAUUCAAUUGCUGUCGUCUAAAAAUAAAAAAUAAAAAAAGACAUACCGAUGAAGUUCCCAAAUCAUCUUGCAGACGGAAAAUCUUGGAUGACCAGUGAACUAUAUCUGGAUUACUUUCUAGAAAUUCCAGUUCCUUCUUAAUGAUUGGAUUUGUACCAGAAAGAUAUGAAAUCGUUAUAAUUAAAGGGCCCGUUAUUGAUACCAAUCCAUUUUCCAAGUAUUCUUCCAGUUUCGGUGUGUACUUGCUAUGGUACCAUUUCGCCUCCACCAAGUAGGCUUGUAUUAAGCCAAGCCACUGAUGCACAUGGCACAGAAAAUAUACAACUAGUUACGGUUUAUAAUUUUUGAGAAAAAAAGAACGUCGUAAUUUAAAAAGGAUAAAUCAAAGGAAAGGAACAGGGAGAGAGGUCAAAUUAAUAUUUCACGUACUGCAUUUUUAAUGCUCAGAAGCAUAUCAAAAUCCUGUUGUUUGAGAACGUAAUAAGCAAAUUCAUUAACAAAGUUGUAAAGCGCAAGAAAACACAUUUUCAUAUAGCCCGGAAGGUGCUUCAAAGCAUAAUUGAUGUCCCACCUGCAAGAAAAAAAAAUCACAUAAACGGUCUAUUAAUAAAUUGAGAAGUACCAUGCAGCUAGGUAGCAGUUGAAUUAUUAAUUUGCCAAAAAACCUCUCAACAGCAUCAGUGAAUAGCUCAAGUUCAUCCAAUGUUCCAUAGACAUCAUAAAUGUCAUCAAUCACUGUAAUUAGGGCUAUCGAGAUUGUGAGCACCCUCCUGCAGUAGGCGAAUUGAGGCUCAAACGCGAUCCCCAUACUCCAUAAGAAGGACGCUACCAACCUGUUCCUCGCAAAGCUCAAUUUCUCUCCAAGACCUGUAUCCUUCCACCACCUUCAUAGGAAAAUUAAAACGAAUAUUACGACACAUGUUUUAUAUAUCUAUAUAUAUAGAAUCAGCUUUCUGUCUGGAAUUCUGAAGAAUAUUUCUCUGAUACAAGCAUUCUCAUUUUAUAAAGCACAUGACUUGUGGCUUUACAAUGCAUUUACAUAUAGAGUCAUCUUCUAGUUCGAGAUUCUUUAAUGCAAACGUUUGGCAUAAUUUAAUAUACAUUUAUAUAAAGUGUAGGCUGGCGCCUUUAUACUGCUGUAAAAGGCGGAGGCUGCACUUGAGAAUAAUUUAAUAUACAUAUGAUUAAAUUGUACAAGUUAUCUAUUCGAUAAAAUCAAAUCUUUGGAAUAUAUAUGAGUUAUGAAAUCAAGGCAUAGAUACCCUGAAAUUUCUUUAAGUUCUUCCUGGUAAAUUGCCUGCAAAGUGUUAAACUCCAUCUUAGCGAGCUCAAGUAAAAGGUGGUUCUUGUCCUCUC